rnacentral:rRNA from 1 species
UUCCGGUUGAUCCUGCCGGACCUGACUGCUAUCGGAUUGAUACUAAGCCAUGCGAGUCAUUGUAGCAAUACAAGGCAGACGGCUCAGUAACGCGUAGUCAACCUGCCCUAUGGACGGAAAUAACCUCGGGAAACUGAGUAUAAUGUCCGAUAGAACACUAUACCUGGAAUGGUUUGUGUUCCAAAUGAUUUAUCGCCAUAGGAUGGGACUGCGGCCUAUCAGUUUGUUGGUGAGGUAAUGGCCCACCAAGACUAUUACAGGUACGGGCUCUGAGAGGAGUGGCCCGGAGAUGGGUACUGAGACACGGACCCAGGCCCUAUGGGGCGCAGCAGGCGAGAAAACUUUGCAAUGUGCGAAAGCACGACAAGGUUAAUCCGAGUGGUUUGUGCUAAACGAACCUUUUGUCAGUCCUAGAAACACUAACGAAUAAGGGGUGGGCAAGUUCUGGUGUCAGCCGCCGCGGUAAAACCAGCACCUCAAGUGGUCAGGAUGAUUAUUGGGCCUAAAGCAUCCGUAGCCGGCUCUGUAAGUUUUCGGUUAAAUCUGUACGCUUAACGUACAGGCUGCCGGGAAUACUGCAGAGCUAGGGAGUGGGAGAGGUAGACGGUACUCGGUAGGAAGGGGUAAAAUCCUUUGAUCUAUUGAUGACCACCUGUGGCGAAGGCGGUCUACCAGAACACGUCCGACGGUGAGGGAUGAAAGCUGGGGGAGCAAACCGGAUUAGAUACCCGGGUAGUCCAGCUGUAAACUAUGCAAACUCAGUGAUGCAUUGACUUGUGGUCAAUGCAGUGCUGCAGGGAAGCCGUUAAGUUUGCCGCCUGGGAAGUACGUACGCAAGUAUGAAACUUAAAGGAAUUGGCGGGGGAGCACCACAAGGGGUGAAGCCUGCGGUUCAAUUGGAUUCAACGCCGGA